UACGGAGGGGGCUAGCGUUGUUCGGAAUUACUGGGCGUAAAGCGCACGUAGGCGGCUUUGUAAGUUAGAGGUGAAAGCCCGGGGCUCAACUCCGGAAUUGCCUUUAAGACUGCAUCGCUUGAAUUGUGGAGAGGUAAGUGGAAUUCCGAGUGUAGAGGUGAAAUUCGUAGAUAUUCGGAAGAACACCAGUGGCGAAGGCGACUUACUGGACACAUAUUGACGCUGAGGUGCGAAAGCGUGGGGAGCAAACCGG
rnacentral:rRNA from 1 species